AUUGUUUUGGCAGAUUAGUGCAAUAGAUUUAGAAUCUUUAUAUGUAAUUUAUACAAAUAAUA
rnacentral:tRNA from 1 species